AUCUACUCUCUGCCAUUUGGCUUAGAUCAAGAUGUAGUAUCUGUUCUUAGAAGAGUGAUAUCUUCUAUCCGUUCUACGUGUUCGGAAGUUUAUAUCAUAAUAUUUUUGCAUUUGCUCAGCUUGUUUCCUGACUUGUCAGAACAGCUGGGAUUUAGUGGCUGGGUAUUACACUGUCUCCCAGGCGCUUCAAAUUCC
rnacentral:snRNA from 1 species